rnacentral:rRNA from 1 species
AUGAACGCUGGCGGCGUGCUUAACACAUGCAAGUCGAACGAAGCACCUCUCCCGAAGAUUGACACAGCUUGCUGUAGAUUGAUUCAUUUGAGGUGACUGAGUGGCGGACGGGUGAGUAACGCGUGGGUAACCUGCCUCAUAGAGGGGGACAACAGUUGGAAACGACUGCUAAUACCGCAUAGUAAGAAGAAUUCGCAUGUUUUCUUCUUGAAAGAUUUAUCGCUAUGAGAUGGACCCGCGUCUGAUUAGCUAGUUGGUAAGGUAACGGCUUACCAAGGCGACGAUCAGUAGCCGGCUUGAGAGAGUGAACGGCCACAUUGGGACUGAGACACGGCCCAAACUCCUACGGGAGGCAGCAGUGGGGAAUAUUGCACAAUGGGGGAAACCCUGAUGCAGCGACGCCGCGUGAGUGAAGAAGUAUUUCGGUAUGUAAAGCUCUAUCAGCAGGGAAGAUAAUGACGGUACCUGACUAUGAAGCCCCGGCUAACUACGUG